rnacentral:rRNA from 1 species
AUGAACGCUGGCGGCGUGCUUAACCCCUGCAAGUCGAACGGAAAGGCUCCUGCUUGCAGGGGUACUCGAGUGGCGAACGGGUGAGUAACACGUGGGUGAUCUGCCCUGCACUUCGGGAUAAGCCUGGGAAACUGGGUCUAAUACCGGAUAGGACGAUGGUUUGGAUGCCAUUGUGGAAAGUUUUUUCGGUGUGGGAUGAGCUCGCGGCCUAUCAGCUUGUUGGUGGGGUAAUGGCCUACCAAGGCGUCGACGGGUAGCCGGCCUGAGAGGGUGUACGGCCACAUUGGGACUGAGAUACGGCCCAGACUCCUACGGGAGGCAGCAGUGGGGAAUAUUGCACAAUGGGCGCAAGCCUGAUGCAGCGACGCCGCGUGGGGGAUGACGGCCUUCGGGUUGUAAACUCCUUUCGCUAGGGACGAAGCGCAAGUGACGGUACCUGGAGAAGAAGCACCGGCUAACUACGUG